ensembl:lncRNA
UUUAAACGUGCGCUGGCCACGAGGGGCGUUAACGUGAUGUUACGUGAGUGACGUAAACGUGAUGGCAAAAAAAAAAAACGUAAACGUAACGUGAUGGCGCAAAUAACCACGAAGACGGAAGAAUAAUUCUGUUUAUUACAAAAGACUGAAGAUAUAACUGCCGCCAUCCUUUAAUUUAUUUAUUUCUACGCUGAGGACACUUUAUAAACCUACAGAGAUACCGGACCAACGAACGACCUUCACAACGGGACGGAGCUAACGUAAUUAACGUUAACGGUUACUUGGAAAUUCAAACAGUAACGGUCAUCUGACAACUGCGCUGAGCCAAAGGACGGGAACAGCAACAAGAGUUUAACUUCUGAUUCGUAAUCUACACACUCUACUGGGCAGUUCAUGAAGACAGAUAGAUGUUGUGCCGACCAGGACAGUUCCUCCUACCACACCAGACUUUGCUGUAUAUGGAUGCCUGACCACUAGCACUGGACAUUUACAACAUUUUGGCGCCAGGGAUCCCUUGCAGAGAAGAUUUUUCAAAGACACCCUCAGAAUUACAACAGAUUUUAAGGCUUAAAAUUAUUGUGGGUGGGAGUCAGGAAAAAACACAUAAGUUGCAUCCGUGUAUAAGACACAUUUUACUAUUAAUUUCAGAAAUAUUUUAAAUACUGAUAAAUAAAACAAACGUUAAGAAACUUAAAAACUAUGAACACUGUAAAGAUUUUAUUUUCCCUCACUUCAAAUCAUUUAAAUUGAAUACUAUUCAAAACAGAAUAAAAAUAAAAAUAUUUAGGCCUAUGUAUAAAAUAAAAAAAAAUUCUAGUGCCAUUAUUUACAAGCAGUAUAUCUUUUGUUAAUUAAAAUGCACUUGCUAUCUCAGUUUCUGUGAACCUCAUUCUGAAAUGUAGAAAACAUUUCUGUACCACAUAUUGUCUGUACCACUGUGUACAGACAGGCUUGUCACACAGACAUGAGAACUAUACUUAUAGAAACCUGUAAGUGCCCGCUUUUAUGUGUUUACGUUUUGCUUAGAAUAAUUCAGCACAUCUCAGAAGAUUAAAAAAAAAGACCAGUAGUCUGGAAAAUAUGGUAUAAAUUAUUUUGUUGACCCCUUUGCUUUGGUCCUGAACCCCAGAUUGAAAACCCUUUUUUUAUUAUUAUUAUUGUGCAUGCAGAUAAUAUUUGGGCACAUGAACACUUGACUAUUGCAUGAAUAAAGAAUACCAUCUUUAAGAAUUUUAUGCUAAUUGCAGUUUAAAUAAAAAUGAAAAAGCUUAAAAAGUUAAACUCCAAUAGGUGAACAUAAUGUGUGGACCCAACUAAACUAAAUUGUUUGUUGUUAAUUGUUAUCCACUGUAUAAUGAGUGACAUUUCUUUUAUUUCAUGGUUUUUGUGUGAAC